GAUGAACGCUGGCGGCGUGCCUAAUACAUGCAAGUCGAGCGAAUGGAUUAAGAGCUUGCUCUUAUGAAGUUAGCGGCGGACGGGUGAGUAACACGUGGGUAACCUGCCCACAAGACUGGGAUAACUCCGGGAAACCGGGGCGAAUACCGGAUAACAUUUUGAACCGCAUGGUUCGAAAUUGAAAGGCGGCUUCGGCUGUCACUUAUGGAUGGACCCGCGUCGCAUUAGCUAGGUGGUGAGGUAACGGCUCACAAAGGCAACGAUGCGUAGCCGACCUGAGAGGGUGAUCGGCCACACUGGGACUGGGACACGGCCCAGACUCCUACGGGAGGCAGCAGUAGGGAAUCUUCCGCAAUGGACGAAAGUCUGACGGAGCAACGCCGCGUGAGUGAUGAAGGCUUUCGGGUCGUAAAACUCUGUUGUUAGGGAAGAACAAGUGCUAGUUGAAUAAGCUGGCACCUUGACGGUACCUAACCAGAAAGCCACGGCUAACUACGUGCCAGCAGCCGCGGUAA
rnacentral:rRNA from 1 species